rnacentral:rRNA from 1 species
AACGAACGCUGGCGGCGUGGAUAAGACAUGCAAGUCGAACGAGGAACUGAAGAGCUUGCUUUGUAAUUCCUAGUGGCGGACGGGUGAGUAACACGUGAGUAAUCUGCCCAAAAGUGGGGGAGAGCCUUCCGAAAGGGGUUUAAUACCGCAUAUGACCUUCGGGUUAAAGCUGGCUUUGCCAGUGCUUUAAGAUGGGCUCGCGUCCUAUCAGCUAGUUGGUGAGGUAACGGCUCACCAAGGCGACGACGGGUAGUUGGUCUGAGAGGACGAUCAGCAACACUGGAACUGAGACACGGUCCAGACACCUACGGGUGGCAGCAGUCGAGAAUCAUUCACAAUGGACGAAAGUCUGAUGGUGCAACGCCGCGUGGAGGAUGAAGGCCCUAGGGUCGUAAACUCCUGUCAUCAGAGAGUAAAGCUUUGCGGUUAAUACCCGUGGGGUUUGAUUAGUAUCUGAAGAGGAAGGGACGGCUAACUUCGUGCCAGCAGCCGCGGUAAUACGAAGGUCCCAAGCGUUGUUCGGAAUUACUGGGCGUAAAGAGUGCGUAGGCGGCUAGGUAAGUCAGAUGUGAAAUCCCGGGGCUCAACCUCGGAACUGCAUCCGAUACUGCCUGGCUAGAGUAGUGGAGGGGCAUCUGGAAUUCUCGGUGUAGCAGUGAAAUGCGUAGAUAUCGUGAGGAACACUAGUGGCGAAGGCGAGACUCUGGACACUUACUGACGCUGAGGCACGAAGGCUAGGGUAGCGAAAGGGAUUAGAUACCCCUGUUAGUCCUAGCAGUAAACGGUGCACGUUUGGUGUGGGAGGAUUUGACCCCUUCUGUGCCGGAGCUAACGCGUUAAGCGCGCCGCCUGGGGAGUACGGUCGCAAGACUAAAACUCAAAGAAAUUGACGGGGACCCGCACAAGCGGUGGAGUAUGUGGCUUAAUUCGAUGCAACGCGAAGAACCUUACCUAGGCUUGACAUGUAUUGCUAAGCACGUGAAAGCGUGUGACUCUUCGGAGACCUUACACAGGUGCUGCAUGGCCGUCGUCAGCUCGUGUCGUGAGAUGUUCGGUUAAGUCCCGCAACGAGCGCAACCCCUGUGACUAGUUACCAGCACGUAAUGGUGGGGACUCUAGUCAGACUGCCCAGUUCAACUGGGAGGAAGGUGGGGACGACGUCAAGUCAGUAUGGCCCUUACGCCCAGGGCUGCACACGUACUACAAUGCCCAGCACAAUGUGAACCGAUACCGCAAGGUGGAGGAAAUCUCUAAAACUGGGCUCAGUUCGGAUUGUGGGCUGCAACUCGCCCACAUGAAGCUGGAAUCGCUAGUAAUGGCACAUCAGCUACGGUGCCGUGAAUACGUUCCCGGGUCUUGUACACACCGCCCGUCACAUCAUGGAAGCCGAUCACACCCGAAGUGUCUGCGCCAACUUUCACAGGGUCCUAAGGUGUAGUUGGUAACUGGGAUG